GACGAACGCUGGCGGCGUGCCUAAUACAUGCAAGUCGAACGCACAGUUUAUACCGUAGCUUGCUACACCAUAGACUGACAGGUGCGAACCGGUGAGUAACGCUUACGUAACCUGCCUGGUAACGGCGGGAAACUAUUGGAAACACUAGCUAAUACCUCCUAAUACUUGUUAUUGCUUGGUAAUUAUUUGAAAGUUGGAAUUGCAUCACUACCUGAUGGCCCUUCGUUGUGUUAGCUGGUAUGUGAGGUAAGGGCUCACCGAGGCGAGGAUACAGAGCCGACAGGAGAGGGUGAUAGGCCACACGGGGACUGAGACACGGCCCAGACUCCUACGGGAGGCAGCAGUAGGGAAUCUUCGGCAAUGGGCGAAAGUCUGACCGAGCAACGCCGCGUGAGUGAAGAAGGUUUUCGGAUCGUAAAGCUCUGUUGUAAGAGAAGAACGGGUGUGAGAGUGGAAAGUUCACACUGUGACGGUAUCUUACCAGAAAGGGACGGCUAACUACGUG
rnacentral:rRNA from 1 species